AAUUGUCCAAAACUAAAACGGCUUCCUCUUCUUUUAAAAACUUCUGAAAAUAACCUUGAAUUCCUUGCAUUUCCAGAAAAAUAACUAAAAAUUCUGCUAGGAUUCUUAUUCUUCUGGUCCUAAUAAUUUGGUUCAAAUCACUUAUAGUUCACAGUUUGCAUUAUGGGUUAAAAAUGGAUUGAGUUCUGGGUAUUGUAGAGUCUGGUUUGGAUUUUGCUGUGGUUUUUACUAUUCCAUUGCUGGAUUUAGAGCUGGUUUCUACUGCUUGGUUAUUGAUGUCACACUCCAUUGUUUCUUUUCAUUUUUCGGGUAUUUCUAUAAGCUAUGGAUAGCAAAUGAUUGUACAUAUGCAUUUUCCAGUGGAAACUUAAUUGAUUAUGAAAUUAUUUUAAUUUUUGAUGUUUUGUCCUCUUCUAUUUUCAAUGAUACUCCAAUAGUAAGUUUAGAGCUAUGCAUGUUAUUUCC
rnacentral:lncRNA from 1 species